rnacentral:rRNA from 1 species
CCUACGGGUGGCAGCAGUGAGGAAUAUUGGUCAAUGGCCGGAAGGCUGAACCAGCCAUGCCGCGUGAAGGACAGGGACCUAUGGGCGUUAAACUUCUUUUGUGCGGGAGCAAGAAUGGUCACGUGGGGCCAGACGAGAGUACCGUACGAAAAAGCAUCGGCGAACUACGGGCCAGCAGCCGCGGUAAUACGGGGGCUGCAAGCGUUAUCCGGAUUUAUUGGGUUUCAAGGGUGCGUAGAUGGGUUGUUAAGUCAGGUGGGAAAGUUUGCGGCUCAACCGGAAAAUUGCACUUGAUACUGGCAGUCUUGAGUUCAGUUGCGGUAGGCGGACUUCGUGGUGUAGCGGU